CCAGAUCUCUGCUCAAAGCAACGAAUUGAAGAGCUCCCUGACGGUCGACAAGUUGGACCAACGGAAAAAGGAAGAACGGGGUGAACCAGCCGAACAGCUUGUUCCCAUCCCGAUAAUGGAGAAUCCCGAACGAGUGGUCUGGAUCAGGUCUCAAUUAUCCGACCCCGAGCAACGGCAGCUAGUGGAGCUACUGAAGGCCAAUGCCGACGUAUUCGCUUGGUCGGCAGCAGAUAUGUCUGGCAUCCCC
rnacentral:lncRNA from 1 species